rnacentral:misc_RNA from 1 species
GAUGAAGAACGCAGCGAAAUGCGAUAAGUAGUGUGAAUUGCAGAAUUCAGUGAAUCAUCGAAUCUUUGAACGCACAUUGCGCCUUCCGGUAUUCCGGAAGGCAUGCCUGUCCGAGCGUCAUCAAAAACCACUCAAGUAGUUUUGCUUGGUUAUGAAAGAAGAGUUUGCUUGCAAAUUCCCUUUCGAAAUUCAAUGGCGGAGGGUCUCAUGAUUCCGGCGUAGUAAUAACUUAUUCGCUUGGUCAUUGUGACAAUCCUGCCUCAAACCCCCAAUUCUAGUGUUUGACCUCGGAUCAGGUAGGGAUACCCGCUGAACUUAAGCAUAUCAAUAAGCGGAGGA